GAUGAGGCCAUCAAGUCACAGGAAAACAAGCUCAGGGCUCCCAUUGAUUAUGGUGAGUUGUGUAAUUGUUUCAUUAUAUAUGACAACGUAAUAACAAUAGAAAUAAAGUGCAUGGUAAGUGUAAUGCACUUACACUGAAGCCAUUCCCCCUUACUGCUCCAUGGAAAAAUUACCUUCCAUGAAACUGGUCCCUGGUGCCAAAAAGGUUUGAAAUCCCUGCUCUAACCAUCCUGCCACCUUCAUUCACUUCUUGUAUGUUGUCCUGGGUUAAGUGCUGUGGAAAUGUUCAUGGGGUCUUUGUUCUACCAUCUCAAACUAUAUGCAAAUACUAAGCAACUUGGGAGAUAAAGUAUUUGGCUAGUGGGAAAAAAAAUGGAUAUUUUCAACAUUAACUAGAGUGACAGUUUGGUAAUCAGCUCUCUGAGAAAGCUUCAACAUCUUCCAAAAAUUGGCAGUGAGCUCCAGAGUGAGCUAAUUAGUCAGGAAUGACUUUUAAUACUCACUACCUUUAAUAGCCUAUCCUUGGAGAAAAGACAGAUAAUGAACACUUGGAAAUCUAUGGUGCUGCAACUUGACCUUCAUGCCAUUUGGGGGAAAUAAGAAAGAUGACUCAUAAUUUAUUAUUUAAAGUCCUCUUUUUAUAAAGGGUUGUUGUGAAAGAUUUGACAAAUAAUCAUUGCCCCUUUAGGAACUCUCAUUUAAUCAAAGAAGCAGAAAACAGGAAGAAUAGAAAACUUGUGUGACUAAGCAAUGUUUAAUUUUAUUUGAAACUGGCUCCACCACCCGGUGAUAGAGAAGGUCCUAUGGAGUCUUCCCAUGGCAAGAAACCGGGCUUGUAACAGGGUAUAAUAGAGUGACACCCCACACCUGAUGCCGUGUAAUGCAGAGUCUGCAAAUACCUCUCUUUUGAUGCUUUCUCAAGGUAAGUCAUAAAUGAGGUCUUACUGCUUUAAAAAAGCAGCUUGCCAAAAGUUGCCCAUUCACUCGCACUUAACUGAGCAACUGAAGGAAAUAUACAUUGGAAAUGGGCUCUCCUGGGAGACUGUCUGGAUCCCGAGUGUCUGGUGUUCAUGUUCACACACCUGGCAGCUGCUUCUUGCCCUUCCUUGGCUGUAGGUGUGAGCACUUGUUUGUUUAAACCUCCCUCAGCACUGCUUGGAAAAACAAAACAACUGACUUACUUGUCUGGGCAUUGAAUGAUCUUCCUGAAUUUUGGUCCUGCCCAUUGGCCCAGAGGCAUAAUAGGUGGGGCAAGUUUCGGUGUUAGUUUGGGAAGUUUCGAGAAGAAGCUAUGGGCUGGGUCUGUUAGGUUGGGGUUGCUCUUGGUUUUAAUUCUUUUGGAAUGUCUGAGGGUCAGGAGUGUUGCCAUUGAUGGCUAUGGGAGGUGUCAGGCUCUGGCUCUGUCUCUUUCUCACAGAGAAUGGCAGAGGCACCCAGGAAGGUAUUUUCCAGGGUUCUGACAGAUGUGAAGUAGCCCUCAUGCAUGUUGUGUUCUCACUUAGGCACCUGGAAGGUGUUCAGUGUAGAAAAAUCACGAGCUAGAUGACAUGACCAGCUUGAUGUCGACUUCCUCCCCAUCAGUGGCUGCCUGUCGUCUUGAUGCAUGCCAGCAGGUCAUAUCUAAGAGAAGAAGCUGUUAGUAGAUCAAGAAAUGGCUAUGGAACCAAGGAAGAAGGAUAGGAAGAACAGGAGGGGAAGUGAAAGAAAAGACAGAGAAACUUGGAGAACAGUAAACAGCAGAAGACAUCUUGGAGACCAAGACCAUAAAUGGUGCUAAGAAAAAGGCAACUCUCUACCAGUAAGAAAGAAAAAACCCCAAACAAAGGUGGUACAUCAAAGGCUGCACCUCAGUGGAGGAGAAACAGAAGUAUGCCUGCCAUCCAGCAGAUAACUCCUCAAGAUAAUAAUCUCAUAUCCUUUAGAUAUUGCUAUGAUUUGAAUGUUUGUCCCCUUCAAAACUCAGCUGAAAUUUGUUUGGUUGCUCUCGUGGCGAUGUGAGGUGAGGAGAGCUUUGGGAAGGGAUAGGACCAUGAGAGCAUUGUCCUCAUGGGAGGGUUGAAUGUUAUUAUAAAAGGGCUAGUUUGGCCCCUGUUCCUUUACUUUGUUUGGUCACACAGGGAAUGUAAUUUAAAGUCAUCCCAUGUUGGGAAUGCCCCUAGAUUACUGGAAGAAACAGAUGCAAAUCAGCUCUGGAAAAACACAACUUCAGUCUAGGCUGAGAGUGACUGUAAAAUGAAUGCUGGUUUCAGAGAUGUCAAAAUGUGAGUAUGUGUGUCUUCGAGUAGACAGUGGCAGUGAUGUUUCAGCUGGACCUAUGGUCGAGUCGCUAGAGUCUGCAUUUCCCAGUCUUCUCUGUGGCUGUGUAAGGUUGAGUGACUUACUAGGUUGAGAGCAGACUGGGAUUCCCUGGUUGGGAACUGGUGAACACCUGGACCCAGGGUGGAAGGUCCUGGUUGGAGAUAGUUGAGCUCACCACCCCAGCCUGGAUUCCUGGAUGACAUGAAACUUGGAGACAACUGUUUGUCCCAGACCAGGGGUUUACUGGAUAGCUAAGGAUCAGACAGCAAAUAUUUUAGGCCUUUCUAGCCUUAAUGUCACGGUUGUACUACUCAACUAGCUAUGUAGAAGAAAAGCAGGUAUAGCCACCAGGGAAAUGAGUGGGCAUGGUUGGGUUUCUAUGAAACUUUAUUUAUAAAACAGGCAGUAGUUUGGAUUUGACCCCCAGGCUGUCAUUGAUGACCCCUGCCCUAGCCUAUUCACACAAGUUUAGAAUACUAUGAGACAUUUAAGCUACUGUUUUAGGUUUUCUUGUUAUAGCAUCUUAGCCUACAUCCUAAUUAAUGCAGCCUUCAUUAUGGGUUGACUCCCCAAGAAGUUUUUUAACUGGCCCAACUCUUCACCCGCUUUUAAUCUCACCUAAGCUGGCGGUGGUCUUCACUUGCUGUCCCUGCUUCUGGUCUCGAAAUCCUGUGUGUCACUCUUCAACCUGACCCCAAGAUGGGUCUUUCAAGAAAUAUUCUCAUUUUCUCCUCCUUAAAAUGCUCUGAGUUUACUCAUUGCAAAGACUAAAAUAUAAUCUCAUAGAGAGCCAGAGGAGACCUGAUCUAACUACCUGCUGCCUACCUUUUCAGUUCAUGCUACAGGCAACGCUAAUCUUCAGAGAGGUUUUUGUUUGUCCGCCCCUCCUGGCUGGAAUGGCCUUCCCAACAAGGGCCUUUCAUUGCACUUCCGUUAUCUCUCACAGCUCAGUUCCACGUCUCCUUCUCUAACAGGCCCUUCUAGAUUCUCUCCCUGCUAGGAAAUGAACUACCUGCAAGCAGAGACUGUAUUUUAUAGGUUUUCAUUCCACUAGGAUCUAGCACAGAACAACAUCCGUACAUGCCUAAAUGAUUGAGCACCUCUUUCCUCUUCUGUCACUACUAGAAAAUAAAAGGAUCUCUUUACUUAGGAAAUAUAUGAUAUUUAUAAAAUCAGAGAGCAGAAUAGGUCAUUCUAUUUGGAAAGGAUAAAAGGAGGCCCACAGACCAACUAUGCUGCACAAGGUUUAUUUAUCUGUAAUUUGUUCAUUUUCAUAUCCCACUUGUGAAAGCCUACCCGCCUCCUUUCCAGCAUCCAUUCCUUCUGCCCAUCUCUACAGCAAAAAUCCUCUGCUCUGUAUUUACUCACUUUUGCCUUCAUGUCUGCAAUGGCCUUCUUUGAAACACUGUUGCCAAAACUACCAUCUGCUUAGAGGAAAUCUCGCUCUGUCUUGUCUUUUCUUUUCUUAUAUUGUGUGUCCAGUUGCUCUGCACAAAGACACAGUCACCUUGCUCUUUACUGGGUGGACUGGAUGGAAUGGGAUGUUAAGUGAAAUGUUUGUCUGAGAUACUUUUAGAAGUUAGUUGUGUGAGAGACCAUCCCAUUUUGUAAUGUUUGUCAAAAGUGAGGUGGUCAGAGCUGGAUUGACUUCUAAACCUUGUUCACACAUCAAAGGGGUGAGAUGUUAGGAAAUUAGAGUUGGGAAGGCUGUGUACAAAGAGCUGUAAGUGUGCUGUGAGUCUGCCCUUCCCCUAGGAACCCCACCAGGGAGGAGUGAGCGGUGCCUGCCCCAUCUCCAAGCCCUGCAGAAGCCUCAACAGCCCAUCCCCAGCUAGCUAAAUAUGUACCUCCUAGAGUUAUAGGGUCAGCAUGGCCUGAAGACUGACACUCUCCUGAGUAAAGGUCCGGAGGCUGGCUGGGCAGAGGUAUGAAGAAGAGCAGCAUCAGGAUUGGACCAGACCUCCCAGAGGUUGUCAGGAAGUUUCCCCUGGAUGAUAACCAGGUGCAAAUGAAAGAUGAAGCAGGGGGGUCACCUCAAGCCUUAUCUAAGGGGAUUACCUGGAAAGGCUAAUAUAGCUCUGCAAAGAGAAGCUGUAGAUGAACUAGAUUCCUAGAAACCUCAAACAACCAGCUGGGAUAGAGAUGCACAGGCCUGGGUCAAGAGAAUUGCAGGGAGAGAUCCACAUUGAUGAGGAGGUUGCCAAAAACUUCCACAAAAGCACCAGCAAGAGAAACAGUCAGCUCUACAUCACUGCCAGGCUCAGAAUGCAUGAAGCCAGCUUACAACAGUGCCAACUGGGAGAACUUUCCUUCCCCGCUUACCUCCCCUCCCUCGCUCUUCAGCAGCAGAGGGGCAGUCCAACACCAGGCAAGCAAUCUGGCAGAGGCAGAGGAGAAAUGCUAGCUGGUGAAAGGGGAGAGAUGCUGACGCUGCCCUUUCUGCAGGACUGGAGUCCUGCCCAGGACCAGGCCUCGCUGGAGGAAGGGGAGAAGGCACAAUUUGUAUGUCCUGUGCCUGCUUAGAUUCUGAUAAAGUCCUGUAGUUUCAGAUUUCUGCAUUGAGGAUGUUUGCAUUCACUAUGAGUGACCAGAAAAAUCAUAAGGACAGCCUGUAUUUUCACCAAGGGCCUGGGGGAAGCACAGAACAAAAACAUAAAACUGUUUUAUGAUUACAUUUCCCCACAUCAGGCUUGUUCACUCAAUCAAUUAAAUUUUUUCACCUGUAUUUUUAACUUGUGAAGACAGUAACGUGUUUAUUAUUCCCAGUAAUUUCUUGCCAAAAUUAAAGGAAAGAAAGAUGGAAGGCAAAAUAAUGUGCUUUUAGAACUGAGGUUGUAUUGGGAACAAAGGCAUUAUUUGCUAAGAGUAAAAAAAAAUAUGCAGGGAAAGUAAGAACUGAGCCUAUUUUCUUGUUAACUACUUUCUCAUACACUUUAAUAGUAUUUCAUAAAAGUAUCUUUCACACUUCAGACAUCUCAAAAUUAGGAAUAUGUGUUAUUUUUCGCUCCUUCUCUGCAGCUUUUUGGUGAGGAAAGCAAACAGAAUCACAGGGAAUCUAUUCAGGUAGUGAGAAUCUCAUGAAGUACAGAAGACACUCUGGUUAGGAGCAAAACCUCCUGAGGAGUUUGGCUUUAAACCCCAUGUUCUCCCUGGCAAAGUGUCUUGAUUUGAAAUCCAUUUUAAGCUAAAAUGCCAAGGGGAUAAAAUAUCUUCAGACCUAGCUUUUAGCUGGGCUGCUAAAAGGAGCCAAGUGGAAGAAAACUGGCAACCUGGAAUAUUACAGCUGAGGUUGGCUGGUGGCUGCACAGGUGUGGGCGUGACAGUGAUGUCAAUGGAUAGAACAUCACCUUCAUUUUGCCACAAAUCAAUUGCAAAAUGCCUUCCUUUUACAAGGUAUGUGUGGAAUAAAUAUUCCUGUUGCUAUGGAAUUAAAUAUGGGCAAGCUUGGCUUCAAGAACUGAGGUCUUGAUUUUAGAAAGCAGGCUCAGUGGGAGUGAGUCAGAAAGAAACAACUUUGUGAAAGGGCUACUUAUUUGUAGCAGGACUGUACCACCCCCACCAUGCUCUGAGAAUGCAAUGGGAGGCCUCUUCUAUCUCUAGCAUGUCGAUUCUGGAGCCUGCCAACACCCAUCCUUCCUAAGACAUACAUCUUACCUCUAAACUUAUUCUUAUAUCAAGAAAUAUUUGAUGGUACUGGGCAAGAUGGCUGACUAUGCAGACAGGUGGAACAGCUGCCACUGAGGGACCCGGAUGACUGGCACACUUUUAACAAAUCUUCAGAGGGAAGGCACUGAGAGUUGAUGGAGGGAAGACUCAGAAACUGCGCUGAAAGUGGAGGAAGCUGGGAACUCUGCGUGGGGUUACCAUGUACCUGGACUUGUGCCUGGUCUGCAAUGGCUCCACAGGAAUGAGUCAGUUGAACUGGUAAGGAGCAGCCCACUCUUGCCAUAGGCCUCUGGAAUCCUGGCAGGAGGAAUCCUCUUGACCACCACAGAUGCUUGCCGCACAGAGUUGGCAAACAGGCGGCUUAGAGAAGUGAUAGGGGCAGGACACCAGCCGAUGUGGAGCCCAAAGGUUUGGUGCAGCAGCAUCUGUAGCAGAGUACAGCCAGGGACACC